AGAGCAGUUUAGAUUGCAGUGCCCAGCCCACCCCCUAGAGCCAAAUUGGAUGUCAUCUUGUAUAGGGAGGCAACGGCUAUGGGACAGGACUGUGCAUGCA